AGUGAACGCCGGCGGUAGGCCUAACACAUGCAAGUCGAACGGCAGCACAGUAAGAGCUUGCUCUUACGGGUGGCGAGUGGCGGACGGGUGAGGAAUACAUCGGAAUCUACUUUUUCGUGGGGGAUAACGUAGGGAAACUUACGCUAAUACCGCAUACGACCUACGGGUGAAAGCAGGGGAUCUUCGGACCUUGCGCGAUUGAAUGAGCCGAUGUCGGAUUAGCUAGUUGGCGGGGUAAAGGCCCACCAAGGCGACGAUCCGUAGCUGGUCUGAGAGGAUGAUCAGCCACACUGGAACUGAGACACGGUCCAGACUCCGACGGGAGGCAGCAGUGGGGAAUAUUGGACAAUGGGCGCAAGCCUGAUCCAGCCAUACCGCGUGGGUGAAGAAGGCCUGCGGGUGGUAAAGCCCUUUUGUGGGGAAAGAAAAGCAGCAGGUUAAUACCCCGCUGUUCUGACGGUACCCAAAGAAUAAGCACCGGCUAACUUCGU
rnacentral:rRNA from 1 species